ensembl:snoRNA predicted gene, 24334
GUGGCUCCUAGAAGUGAUGCAGGUGUGGCUGCUAUGUCCCAUGUGUGCCAGUAGGUGGCAGAGAGGAGCGAGGCUGUGUCUAUGCUCAGUGUUCUGAUCUAUGGACAUCUGAAUGACUGACAGUCCCUGAAA